GUGUUUGCUUCUGCAGCACAUACACUAACAUUGGAAUAAUAUGGAGAAGAGUAGCAUGGCCCCUGCUUAAAGAUGACACGCAAAUUUGGGAAGCGUUCCAUAUUUUU
rnacentral:snRNA from 1 species